rnacentral:rRNA from 1 species
GAUGAACGCUGGCGGCGUGCUUAAUACAUGCAAGUCGAACGAACAUUAAGAGUGCUUGCACUUUUAAUGUUAGUGGCGAACGGGUGAGUAAUACAUAGGCAACUUGCCCCAAGGACUGGGAUAACACUUAGAAAUGAGUGCUAAUACCGGAUAGGUAAUACAAAGGCAUCUUAGUAUUAUUAAAGUUGGGUAUCCAACACCAUGGGAUGGGCUUAUGCUGUAUUAGCUAGUUGGUGAGAUAACGGCCUACCAAGGUGACGAUCAGUAGCCGACCUGAGAGGGUGACCGGCCACAUUGGGACUGAGACACGGCCCAA